CCUACGGGAGGCAGCAGUGGGGAAUAUUGCACAAUGGGGGAAACCCUGAUGCAGCGACGCCGCGUGAGUGAAGAAGUAUUUCGGUACGUAAAGCUCUAUCAGCAGGGAAGAAAAUGACGGUACCUGACUAAGAAGCCCCGGCUAACUACGUGCCAGCAGCCGCGGUAAUACGUAGGGGGCAAGCGUUAUCCGGAUUUACUGGGUGUAAAGGGAGCGUAGACGGCAGCGCAAGUCUGGAGUGAAAUCCCAUGGCUUAACCAUGGAACUGCUUUGGAAACUGUGCAGGUAGAGUGCAGGAGAGGUAAGCGGAAUUCCUAGUGUAGCGGUGAAAUGCGUAGAUAUUAGGAGGAACACCAGUGGCGAAGGCGGCUUACUGGACUGUAACUGACGUUGAGGCUCGAAAGCGUGGGGAGCAAACAGGAUUAGAUACCCCUGUAGUC
rnacentral:rRNA from 1 species